CGAUAUCGACGAGUUUGUCAUGGCUCAGAACGAACGCUGGCGGCAGGCUUAACACAUGCAAGUCGAACGGUUGUAGCAAUACAGCAGUGGCAGACGGGUGAGUAACACGUGGGAACCUUCCUAGGGGUACGGAACAACUCAGGGAAACUUGAGCUAAUACCGUAUACGUCCGUGAGGAGAAAGAUUUAUCGCCCUUAGACGGGCCCGCGUCGGAUUAGCUAGUUGGUGGGGUAACGGCCUACCAAGGCGACGAUCCGUAGCUGAUCUUAGAGGAUGAUCAGCCACACUGGGACUGAGACACGGCCCAGACUCCUACGGGAGGCAGCAGUGGGGAAUCUUGGACAAUGGGCGCAAGCCUGAUCCAGCCAUGCCGCGUGAGUGAAGAAGGUCUUCGGAUUGUAAAGCUCUUUUACCAGGGACGAUAAUGACGGUACCUGGAGAAUAAGCCCCGGCAAACUUCGUG
rnacentral:rRNA from 1 species